GAUGAAUGCAAAUGGAGUUUGUGGUUUUUUACAGUUUAAGGUAAACAAAUCCAAAGCAACUAACAGUCAGUUGAUCGGCACACAUCAAUAUGCAGGUAAAAUUCUAAAUCAUAAAUGACAUGCAGAACAAAGUCAAUACCAGAAGAAGAAUACAAGGAAAUAUAGUCUUGGGGGCACUCUGUUGUUCUCUGGUGACUACAGAAGAGCAGACAGAAGGGGAGGAGUGCCUUGUGCAUGAGCUACUAGAAGCCGGCCAACCCUGUGAGGAUUCUGAGGCAUCUACAGACAUACCAGCUUCGGUUGGAUUUUGCUUCAUGAAGAUUUCAGACAUUGAAGAGAACUUGCCAAACCCAUGAGGACUUUGAGGAGAACAAACUUUUAAUCAAUACACAUUCUACAUAUGCUUUUUCUCCAUCAUUGAGCAUUUGAAGGCUUUGUCAUGGAGGAGUUAGUGUUGAACUUAUAAUGAACUCAGAUGAUGAGAUAAUGCAUGAGUUGCUCAGGAGGUCCUGAUUACACAGGACCUCCUGAGUGACUGUAUAUGACUGUAGAAAGGACAUUAUUUAUAAUAACACUCUCCGGUGUUUAUAAUAAUUUAUAUUCACACUAUCUGGUGUAACCCAAAUGAGGACGGGUUCCCUUUUGAGUCUGGUUCCUCUCAAAGUUUCUCCCUCAUACCAUUUAUGGAAGUUUUAACUUGUCGCAGUCACCUCAGGCUUGCUCAUUGAGGAUAAAUAGUGAUAAAUGAAAAUAAAUUUACACAAACCUUUUAUGUUCUUUAAAGCUCCUUUAAGACAAUAUCCAUUGUUAAAAGCACUAUACAAAUAAUAUUAAAUUAAACUGAAGGUAAUUGUACUGACACCAUAUGUAUGUGCACCAAACCUGCAUGUUUAUUUGUUUCCUUGAUAAAAAAAAAAACUUUUCAUAGUCUUUAAAUGUAGAUGAACUAAUUACACUUUUAAAAUAUCUGAGCUCUAGUCACACACUCUCAUGAACAUGACAUUUGGCUGCUAGAGUAAAAUAGCUGCUGUAAUUGCAGGUCAUGUGUCACUAAAGACAGUACAAAAUCCUAGGUGUGAUUACAGUGCUUUCAUGCAGCAGAUAAGAGACCUGAUGCAAGAGUAAAAUAUUUUGUGAUUGUUUUAAUUAGAUGUGGAAAGGUAUUUCCCAGUCCAGGAAGUUCUUUCUGAACUUCAAGGCAAGAGAUCAGAUUUUGCAAUCAUGAAUCCUUUCUAGGUUAAAAAAGAAACCAAAAUACCAGCAAAGUUGCUCUAAGCUAAUGACUAAGCUUUGUUCUCAUGAAGACUAUAUUUAAAACAGUAUCACACCUCUUUGGUCUGGAAAUCUGAUUAAAUAGUUGAAUGGGGUGUCUUUAGGAAUUAGCUGGACCCAUCACAAAUAUGUGCAUGUUAAGAAGAGAUGCUACAGUAAUGACAUUAAAAUGGUUAAAGAGAGCGAUAAAGCAAAACUUGCAUAACAUUACACUAACACUGAACUGAAAUAGAAAUUGUAAACCAUUUCAACUAAUAAACUGGAGAAUGAAUAGUCAAACUUUUCAAAAUGUCUAUAAAGAGCAUAGAUUUCCUAAUAAUCACUACCCAUCCUAAGUUGUGUGGGAUUUCCCCUACCUGAACAUGUACCAUAUUCAAUACUUCCUCUUUCACAGUGACAGAUAUGUAUGAUAUGUCUCAACAUCACUUUUUGCUGAAUUCAC